rnacentral:rRNA from 1 species
GAUGAACGCUGGCGGCGUGCCUAAUACAUGCAAGUCGAGCGAACAGACGAGGAGCUUGCUCCUCUGACGUUAGCGGCGGACGGGUGAGUAACACGUGGAUAACCUACCUAUAAGACUGGGAUAACUUCGGGAAACCGGAGCUAAUACCGGAUAAUAUAUUGAACCGCAUGGUUCAAUAGUGAAAGACGGUUUUGCUGUCACUUAUAGAUGGAUCCGCGCCGCAUUAGCUAGUUGGGAAGGUAACGGCUUACCAAAGCAACGAUGCGUAGCCGACCUGAGAGGGUGAUCGGCCACACUGGAACUGAGACACGGUCCAGACUCCUACGGGAGGCAGCAGUAGGGAAUCUUCCGCAAUGGGCGAAAGCCUGACGGAGCAACGCCGCGUGAGUGAUGAAGGUCUUCGGAUCGUAAAACUCUGUUAUUAGGGAAGAACAAAUGUGUAAGUAACUAUGCACGUCUUGACGGUACCUAAUCAGAAAGCCACGGCUAACUACGUG